GGAGAAACACAUUGAAGAAAUAGGUCACCUGCCACCCUAUGGUCCUUAUUGUUAACAGAAGAGAUUGGACAUGUUUAUGGUCACCAUAUUUAAUGAGUAAAAUUCCACUGCUGUUAUUUCAGCAUAAUUAUUAUUGGAUUUUCAGUUCCUCUCUAUGCAGAACUCAGCAAAUGUGGUAUGGGAACAGAGGAAGCAGGUGGUUAGAUUGAUUCCUCAUGGUUGAGAGAUUUACGGGCUGGUGUGGCAAAAGAACAACAAGGAACUGGGUGGAGAUAUUGACAAGAGAGGGAAUAGUUAAGUAUAUUACGACACAUUUAUAUCAAAAGCUAUUUUGAAGCUCUUAAGUUUUAUAUUUAUAAAGAGUUUAUAAAAGCUUAUUUUAUAAUGUUAAGGUAA